GACGAACGCUGGCGGCGUGCUUAACACAUGCAAGUCGAACGGGAAGGCCCUGCUUUUGUGGGGUGCUCGAGUGGCGAACGGGUGAGUAACACGUGGGUAACCUGACCUUGACUUUGGGAUAACUUCAGGAAACUGGGGCUAAUACCGGAUAGGAGCUCCUGCUGCAUGGUGGGGGUUGGAAAGUUUCGGCGGUUGGGGAUGGACUCGCGGCUUAUCAGCCUGUGGGUGGGGUAGUGGCUUACCAAGGCUUUGACGGGUAGCCGGCCGUAGAGGGUGACCGGCCACAUUGGGACUGAGAUGCGGCGCAGACUCCUACGGGAGGCAGCAGUGGGGAAUAUUGCACAAUGGGCGGAAGCCUGAUGCAGCAACGCCGCGUGCGGGAUGACGGCCUUCGGGUUGUAAACCGCUUUCGCCUGUGACGAAGCGUGAGUGACGGUAAUGGGUAAAGAAGCACCGGCUAACUACGUG
rnacentral:rRNA from 1 species